AGCCCUACCAGCUCCUUUUCAUCCCGCUGCCUGCCGAAAGCACGCACCGGAGCGCUCGGGAGUUGGGUUCUCUCCUGGAAAUGGGCAUUUCUCCUCCCAGCCACACACAGCCUCACAGCCCCUCCGCAAUUGGGGAGACACCUCCUGAGCAUUGCUGGGCUUUUGUUCCUCCUCCUCCCGUGCUGCCCGAGCCGCUCCUUCCCCCCGCGCCGCUGCCUUAAGUUGCUCGCCGUGAUCCCCAGCAGAGAAUCGCCGUCCCGCUGACGUCCCGCGGUGGAGGCGGCGAGAGGAGAGACAGAGGAGAGCAGAAGGAGGAGGAAAGCGAAGUCUCUCGGGGGUGCUCCCAACCCUCUCAUCCUGCCCAGGUGAUGCCCCAGUUCACCUUUGCUUGCUUCUGUGGGCUCCAUGGCUUCUGCAAGAUGAAGAGGAAGAAAGAAGAGUCCAGCGCAGAGCAGGAGACAGCAGUGUGAGGAGCAGGCUCCUGUGUGCAUCCCAACAAGCGGUGCCUUGGGACCCAUCCCCUUCCCCUUGAUUCUUCUGUGGCCAAAAGCAUGGGAACGACCUUGCCGAGAGGCAGAAGCGGAUGCUGUGGACACUACCCUUGUGCUGCACCCUGGGCCCCUGAGCAGGCACUGAUGGAGGGACCCUGCAUCCCAGCGGGGUAGAGACUCCCUCCUGAGCAACCGAGCCUGCCCUUGCUCCAGCAAGUCCCAGCACAAACAUGGAGCGGUUUCCAAAGCCGGGGCCAGAUCCUGUCCUUCCUGCGGUUCUGUGGCUGCAGAGCCUGGCCCUGGCUGGUGAGGAGUGGCUGAACAUCAGAACCAAGCUGGUUUGGGGUUGGUUUGUGCUUUAAAGCAAGUGCCUGGGGCUCCAGGAAGCCGCUGUCCGUGUUCUGCCCUGCUCAGGUUUUCCUUGUGUCCCAGAUAUUCCUGUCAUGUAAACCUGAGACAGGCACCACUCACCCACACCUGUUCCAUGUGCAUGGAACACAUCCCGCGUGCACAUUCAAGCACUGGAGCUGCAGUUAUUUUCCCACCUCCCAGAUGGAUGUAGCUCUCCAAGCAGCAAUAUGUUUUCCACCAUGGCUCCGAGCAAAAUGCUUUGCUCCUGGGUUGACCUCUAUUGUGUUCAUAAACGGUUUGCGGUGCUUUUUGAUUCCCCCAUCAUAAUGACUUGACCUCUGGAUUGACGGCUGAGGCUCCUUUCAUCUCCACAUUGUUUCCCAUCAGCCUCCAGCCUUCUCUGUAGCAAACCUGCCUGGAGCCAAGCCCCAUUCCGCUCAUUUCCAUGGAUCCGCAGUGGGCAAAUGGGGGUUUUCCUCUCUUUCCAGUGGCAGCAUUUGAACAGGGCAGCGUCUGCUCCCGAAGGCUGGGAUGUGACAGCUCUUGUCACAGUGCAAAUACUCUGUCUUCUCUCUCCCCACACCCCUGCCUGGCUUUAAGGUCCCUUCAACCCAAAAGCCAGUCUGUGCUUCUGUGAUCCUAUGGAAUAACCCAGGCUAUCCUGAUGCAGGCACUGCAGCAGGAUGGGCAGCUUCUGCCAAACACCCUGCAAGCGUCAGCUCGGGUUUGAGUGCUGUGUCUGCACAGGCAGGGCUAUUUCUGCAUCCCAGGUGGUACCCGAGAGAAGAGAACAAGACAAAGCCUCCUUCCUCCCGCCCACGGGCAGGAUGCUCUUCCAGCUGCUCCAUGUUCCGUGCUGACCCGCUGCAUGGAGCAGUAUCUCAAGCAGCCUCAUAACGCCUUCAGUCCAUGGCUGGGCUCAGUCCUCCCUGUGCAUCUGCUUUCCCAUAGCUCAGAACACAGCCGCUGCCCCAGAACACCAGGUUUGUCAGGCUGUUGGUACUCAGAGGACAAAGAACAGGCAGCAUCAGGCAGCUCCAGGUGGGCACGGGCAAGCUCAAUGGUGUUUAGGAAAGAUGCUGACCCGGUUCUGUUCCUGGUUUUGCACAUGAGCACAGCCUGCGGGACCCAGGGUUUGCAGCCACGGGGCUGUCCUUGAUGAGGACCUUGGAUUUAUCUUUAGGCCAAAGAGGAAGGUGGUGAAACACAAACUGGAGUGCUCAAAUGUAGGUUUAGCUUUGCCCUGUAACGCGUGGUGACCAACAGGGAACACACGAGCCUAGGGGUGAAUAAAUCACUGCUUUGAAGUUAUCGCAAGUGUAAAGAUCCAGGUCAAGUUGGAGUCUGUUUUAUGGCAGGGAGACUGAGACGUCUGCAGAGGCAUCAGCUCUACAGGAACGAGCCUGGACUGGACCCCAGGGCUCAGAUUGCUCCUGAGUGUGGCUCAGCCCCAUCCCUAUGCAAAAGCGCAUCAACCACAAGCACAAGCAGGCGAGGACAGGCUGUGGGAGCCCUGCUUCAGCUCAAAGUGUUUGCUCUGGGGCUUUGCUCCAUUCACUAAAUCUGCCUAAUUCCCCCCCAUAAUAAACCCCCAUUGAGCCCUGCUGAAGCGUGCAGCACCAAGCAGAGGGGAAGCACAGAACCAUCCCUGCAGCAUCUCCCUUGUGCUGCCGAGCAAGGAGCAAAGCAUUAAACCUCUUUUUAUUGUCCUUUUCCUUUCAUCCCUCUGUCUGGAUUUCAUCACGGAGGGACCUACCCAGACGUGUUCCUCAGGAGUCUCCCAGCCCCAGUAGCCAUAGAAACCGGCUAUUUUUAGCCCGUUUUCAUGAUGCCAGUAAAUGACUUUCCUCUACUUUGGGCAGAGAGAAGACCCCGUCAGGCUCCUGUGGUAAAUGAGCAUCUCCAGCAAGGCGGCGUCCUCUCCCAUGCACAGACACUGAAUGUGGCAGCUGUAAAUAAGCACCUCUAUCUACACACAGGACAUUGCUUCCUCCAGUAUUUCCCAUGCCAGAGCAGGUAUCCAUAAGGACUUUUAGAGCAUGGAUUUUACAGGCGUUCGGAGAUCAGGGUUUUUUAGGUACACAACGAGCUUCCUCCUUUCCUUCUUCAGGAGAGCCCCUAAUCCAAUUACCCAUGGUUGGCAAUGGGAUCAAUGAGGGUAACAGCAAUACUAGGGGCAAAACUCAGCGCACAGCAAUGCCUUCUCUCUGGGAUAGCUGCAAAACUCGCAGCCAAAGGUGGAAAAGCUCAUUUGUCUGGGGGAUUAUUCAGUACACACUAAUGAGCAACCCGGGUAAUGCAGCAGGAUGGGAGCUGGGGCAGAGCAGCAUUGCCCUGGAGGGCUCUUGCAAACCACUGUCUCCAGGGAUGUUGCCCUUCCCAAAGCCCAUGGGGACAUUUCUGCUGCCCUCCUCAGGGUAUCAAUGCUGGGGAUGCAGGAGCAUCCCUGUAUCCUCUGGGACCAGCAAUCCAGCAGAGGUGAUGGAGACUGUGUCCUUUUGAUGCCUGCCGGGUACCCUGGAGUUGUAAACACCCUAAUCCGACGGCUUCUGCUGGCACGGGUCUCGUUUACAAGGUUGUCCUAUAAAUUAUAGAUGCAAAUCACAGCUGCGGUUUGCACCCAGAGACUCGCCUAUUGAUCUGUCUCCUGCUGGUUACUGUUGGGACCACUGCAGCCCUGCGCAUAGAAGCAGCGGGCUGUAGAGGGUACUUGUGCAUCUGCACUUGGACCAGGAACGUUCCCUGUCCGAGCACGCAGGGAAGCAGCUAUGGAGCUGUUGCAAUAAACCGGCGCGAUGAUACCCCUCAGA